UCUGAUCAAGUGGUAACGACACUGGCCUCUCACUCUGGAGUUCCGGGUUCGAUCCCCGGCAGAAGAG